rnacentral:rRNA from 1 species
GAUGAACGCUAGCUACAGGCUUAACACACGCAAGUCGAGGGGUAACGAGAGGAAAGCUUGCUUUCCUUGUCGACGACCGGCGCACGGGUGAGUAACGCGUACCCAACCUGCCCCCAACUAGGGAAUAACCUUGCGAAAGUAAGACUAAUACCCUAUAAUUUCCUCAGAUGUCAUCUGACGAGGAAUAAAGAUUUAUCGGUUGUGGAUGGGGAUGCGUCUGAUUAGCUUGUUGGCGGGGUAACGGCCCACCAAGGCAACGAUCAGUAGGGGUUCUGAGGGGAAGGUCCCCCACAUUGGAACUGAGACACGGUCCAAACUCCUACGGGAGGCAGCAGUGAGGAAUAUUGGUCAAUGGGCGGAAGCCUGAACCAGCCAAGUAGCGUGCAGGAUGACGGCCCUAUGGGUUGUAAACUGCUUUUAUACAGGAAUAAAGUUAGCCACGUGUGGUUAUUUGUAGGUACUGUAUGAAUAAGGACCGGCUAAUUCCGUGCCAGCCGCCGCCGUAA